rnacentral:rRNA from 1 species
CAGUAGCCACGGUAAUACGUAGGGUGCGAGCGUUAAUCGGAAUUACUGGGCGUAAAGGGCUCGCAGGCGGUUUCUUAAGUCUGAUGUGAAAGCCCCCGGCUCAACCGGAGAGGGUCAUUGGAAACUGGGAAACUUGAGUGCAGAAGAGGAGAGUGGAAUUCCGCGUGUAGCGGUGAAAUGCGUAGAGAUGUGGAGGAACACCAGUGGCGAAGGCGACUCUCUGGUCUGUAACUGACGCUGAGGAGCGAAAGCGUGGGGAGCGAACAGGAUUAGAUACCCCGGUAGUCCCUGUCUCUUAUAC